AUUGUCAUACGAAAUUAAAAUAAUAAAGUCUUCAAAAAAAAAAAAAUUAAUAUUUUUAUAGUUAAAAAAAAAGAGUAAUCGACAAUGUAACAACAAACCAAUUGCUAUUGUAGAACCUUAUAACCCACGUGAGGACAUAAGUGAGGACAUAAGAACGACAACGAGAACAACAAAUACAACAAGAACAAGAAAUACAGCGGCGAAUAAGAAAUCUGUUUCAACCGAUUGCCCCACCACCUCCACUACCAGAAGACGAAGAAGAUGGUGAUGAAGAUAUAGGUGAUGAUGAAGAUGAUAUAGACGAUGAAGAAAGAAAUAAUUAUGAACUAAAUUUACCUACAGUUUUGCCAUCAAUCGAAUCGACCUGCAUAGGUUGCUGCCUAUGCUUUGCUCCGUUGAGACCGCGAAGACCUUGUUGUUCUCGUCGUUGCGGCAUGCAAGGAGCAUGCAUAGGUUGUUGUAUUUGUACAUUCAACACGAUGCAGGCGAUUCGAGACGCGAUGAUGGAGAAAAUAGAGGCGAAAAGAAACCUUUGGUUAAAUUGAUGGAAUAUCAAAAUUGAUAUUUUUUUAUGUAUUUUUUUUAAUAUUGUACAUAGUAUAUUUUAUUUUUUUUUUGUAAUAAAUUAAAAAAAAAAAAAAAAAAAA